ensembl:miRNA
ACGUCCCUUACCCCCCCACAUCUUAGCAGCAAACAGCAGCCUCUGCCAUAGAGGUUGGUGCUACGUGCAGUGGGAGGUCAGGGGAGUCUGGGAUGGCAGACACUU